rnacentral:rRNA from 1 species
GACAGAGGAUGCAAGCGUUAUCCGGAAUGAUUGGGCGUAAAGCGUCUGUAGGUGGCUUUUUAAGUCCGCCGUCAAAUCCCAGGGCUCAACCCUGGAAAGCCGGCCGAUACUGUCGGACUAGAGUUCGGAAGAGGCGAGUGGAAUUCCCGGUGUAGCGGUGAAAUGCGCAGAUAUCAGGAGGAACACCGAUGGCGAAGGCAGGUCUCUGGGCUGUAACUGACGCUGAGGAGCGAAAGCAUGGGGAGCGAACAGG